GAUGACCGCUGGCGGCGUGCCUAAUACAUGCAAGUCGGGCGAAGCGGGGACGGGUGAGUAACACGUGGAUCACCUCCUUUAAGACUGGGAUAACUUCGGGCAAGCGGAGCUAAACCGGAUACUUAUCGAUGGAUCGGCGCUGCAUUAGCUGGUUGGUCAGGUAACGGCUUACCAGGGCAACGGUGCAUAGCCGACCUGAGAGGGUGAUCGGCCACACUGGAACGGAGACCCGGUCCAGACUCCUACGUGAGGCAGCAGUAGGGAAUCUUCCGCAAUGGGCGAAAGCCUGACGGAGCAACGCCGCGUGAGUGAUGAAGGUCUUCGGAUCGUAAAACUCUGUUAGUAGGGAAGCGGUACCUAAUCAGAAAGCCACGGCUAACUACGUGCCAGCCGCCGCGGUAAUAC
rnacentral:rRNA from 1 species